AGCGGCCGGGAGAGGUCCCGCGGCUGCACCCUCUGCAUCAACCCCUCACCCCUACGCUACGCGCGGCCCCAGGCUCCCGGGCCAAGCAGUACCCCGGGGCCGGCGCCGGCCUUCCCGCCCCGCGGAGUGCAGACCCCCUGGAGGGGCAGGGCCAGAGGGUGCAGCCCGGGGGCCCCUGAGCGCCAACACGCUGGGCCACCUCAGGCAAGGCACGUCGCCUCCCAGAGUCCUGGCGUCCUCUUCUGCGGAUGGAGGGGAUGACAGGGAGCCUGCCGGGUCGUGAAAGGUUUUCAAGGAGACGGAGGUCAGCAAAACGCACUUUGUCAACAGUCAAGGACCGCGCAGCACGUGCUGCCGCGGUUCAGCCCUGGGAGGGGCACCCGCUGCCCCCAGGAGUCUGUCCUGAAUCUGUAUGUCCAGAUUCCUUCAUUCGCUGGAGAAAUCUGUGACGGCUUUUUAAAGAUGGCUCGUGCGCGCCCUUUCUCGCUGAUCUUAGUAGGAUCCCAAUGGUCCCUUGGAAAUUCAGAGCUCCAACUGGAUGGAGAAGGGUUCUUCCCCCGGGGGCUUGAGUCCUCCCCUUCUCCCCUGGUUCCCCCACCUUCCCUCGGCCCCUGGGACCGCCCCCCACGAGAGGUAAGGACUGGCACAGUCAUGGAUGGGUUCCAGUGCCAGGCACUGUGCCCUGUGAGACAUGAUUGGCUCCAUUUUGCAGAUGAAGGGAACAGAGACUGAAAGGUAAAAUGACGUCCCCAGAUGUGACACGUGUAGUGAAAAGAACCAUCAGCCCUCGAGGACAGGGCGGUGACAUUAGGGAGACCCCAACAGCAAAAGCUAAAUAAAGGAAGUAGGAAUUCCCACAGAUGCAACAUCAGCUAUCACUGGCUGCUGAGAAUUUCCAAAGAAGGAAAAUCUCAACUUCCCAUAGAAGCCAGGAAGCUCGCUUUUGCACUCCCAGAGGUGGGACAAGGAUUGAAGUUUCCUAUUUAUGCUUUUCUCAAAGAAGCUGCUCGAUGGUGAAAGUUUCUACAUGGCCCUGGAAAGUCAGAGGCAUCAAGAUGGGAGAAUUGCUUGGCUGAUCCCCGUCUGGCUCGUGAUAUGGACUUCUCAGAGCCUUCAACAUGCCAUGACUUUCCAUAAGAAUGUAUACAGCAUGCAACUUUUUUUCAGCCUUCUUUUCCUUUUGUGGGACACCUGCUGUUUCAGACAGCACUGCAUGAACUGCUCCAGGAUGGCAAAACCAGAGACAAAUGCUUGGGGUCCUGAGCAGAUCACACAGCCUGGGGAGGGAGGUGGUGCCAGGAGCAGAUCCAGCCAGCACCAGCAGGAAUGCACCAGGCCAGAUGAGGAAAUGACUGAGACCUGCUCAAGAGUACAGAGGUCACAGUAGGGAGGCUGGGCUCCUAUUCCAGUCUUCAGUCCCCAAAUUCUGACCUCUCUAGUUGACCUCACAUGGGGACAGCUAUGCUUCGAACCAGAUACUGGCCAGGGGCUGUGAACAGGAAGAGGCAGAGAAAAGUGGAAGAGGAACCUAUUCUAGAAAA